GGGUGUGAUGUUGUGUGCCUGUAGUCCCAGCUACUCAGGUGGCUGAGGCAGGAGGAUCACUUGAGCCCAAGUAUUUGAGGCCGGCCUGGGCGACAUAGUGAGACCCUGUCUCAA
rnacentral:sRNA from 1 species